UGGCGGUACCUGAGCAUUGGUAGGAACUCUGAUUGGCCUUAAGGGGUGGUGUUGGAGCAAUGCGAUGAAGUACCCUUGCAUGGUGCCAAAAUGAUAGGGUGUGCUCUAUCCUAUAAGUAGGCCUAGGCCUUUCCUCUAGUGUCAAUCUGUUAUCGCAAGUCUUUUGACAGAGACUAGAUCAGUCGGAGAAGGGAUGUGGCUGGUGCUGAGUGGCGAUGACUUGAUCUGUAAAAUAAGAUUCUAACCAAAGUUGGCUCUGAUGAGGACC
rnacentral:lncRNA from 1 species